GAAGGUUCUGAUGAGAUAGGUUCUUCAGGGACCACCAGUGGAAAAUUCUGCAGGUUGCGAGAAUCAACCUCAUUCAAUACCUUGUCCCUUGAAAUAUCUGUUGUAUCCUCUUCACUUAGAUAUGGUAUUGGGAACAAGUCAAGCAAAUUAUCCCCCUCUCUAGAAUAGUUCAAAGGUUGAGUGAAGUAAGGCAUGGUUUCUUCAAAUUUCACAUCUCUUGAAACAACUAUUUUCCUAGUUAUUGGAUUGUAGCAUUUGUAACCCUUUUGAGUGGAUGAAUA
rnacentral:lncRNA from 1 species